UGCCCAGGUUAGAGGGUCCUUCGCCCUCCGAUUUGGUGCCGUGUUCUUGGAGCACGUGAACACAUGUACAGGUAACUACCCUUCGCCUGGCGGGGCGCGCACCCGCGCUCGUGCCGCAGCUGACCGCGGAUAGUGCGGAGAAAUGCCGGCUUCUCUGAGUACCCCCACCAGCGCACGCUACACAGCCUUCGGGUAUCCACUCUGCCGCUAGACACUCUUUCCCGGUACUGUGACUGGCCGUAGAAGAAAAAGGAAAAAAAAAAAAAAACAUUAAAGAGGCGAGUGGCGUAUUAACGUCACAGCGGCAAAACGCUAGGAAACGCGGACGCACAGGGCGCCUAACCCCCCCCACUCCCUGCCUCCCUGCCUCCCUCCCCGUGAAGCCACUCUCCGCGGCUCCGUGAGCGCGCGGCGCCCGAUGAUGCGGACGGAUGCCCAGCGCGUGCGUUACAGGAGAUCCCACAACUUGCUUUCUGAGCAAACUGACAAGCUUCUGAGAAAUAACACCAACUGGGUGAAAGCGGGGCCAGUGAGCGAUGGACAGGCUACGUCCCAGCGCGGGUCCACUGCUGGGCUACUGUUGCUGCCGUUAAUGCCCUCUGCCAGCCUCCCUCCAUCACUUUCAGCCACUGCAGCUACAGCUUAAUGAAUACAGAUGACUGUAAGCUUCCCAUGCUAGGAGGGGCUCUUAAAGUUUCACAGCACCAUUGGUUUGCUGUGUGGUGAGGCAACGGGUGCAAAUGUGCACCUUGACUUUUGGAGCAUGGAGUCUAUGUUCCCUGUAGUUUUACACCAGCUCCUGUGCCCAGAGUACCAGAGCACAGGUACGCAGGUCAGGGUGGCCUGAUCGUGGUGCAAAGCCAUAUGCACGCUGCAGAUGUUGUAUGGAACAGCUGUCAAGAACACCCCUAUCUUAGCAAGUGAUUAAGUGGGAGCAGCAUUUUGCUUCAUACUCAGAUUGCACCCCUGUCACUAGGCUUUAUAAUCAGAGAACUAUAUCUAAGCUCCACACUGCAAGUCAUCAGUGGAUUUUUAACACAAACGGAUAAAAGAUUGUUUUAUAGAAGAUGCUGCAGAUGUUUCAGUAACAGUAUAAUAUCACAGCUGAAGAGCAUAAGAAGACAUUUCAAUAUUUUUUGCAACUGGUAUUAUAAUGCUUAAUAUUUUAUACACACUGUAUGUCCUAAAAUGUUCUAUCAUAUUUGCUCAGUAAGUUUCCAGCACAUCUGGAGAAAGUAUAUAUGCCCAAGAUAAAGCUGGGCCAACUGUUCUUAAAUUCAUUCUGGAUCAGUUCUUGACAGUGAUGAUUUAUAUAUUCACUGUAUAUGUAAAUGUUCAUUCAGCACAGGGGAAAAUUAUUUCAGUCCUUGUGUUCCAAUUAGUACUUGAUUACUAGUGGAUUAAGUAUAACUGCAGCCAAAAAUGAGAGCUGUCCUUGGCUGAUUUGUGAGAAGAGUCACACUGAUUCAGUGCUAUUAAAAACAAUUCCACAAGAAUUCAUUCCAUCAAAGUUUGUGUUAGUGACCCUUGCAUAAAUGCUUCAUUAUAUCUAUAAUGAUACUUACAAGAAUGAAUAAUUAAACAGUGAAAUGUAAGUCUGAAGAGGGAAACAACUUAAGUGCUGAAUAAUACUCAGGACACACACUUUCUUAUUGCCCAAGCUCUUAAAUAAAACAGUAAACUCUAAUUUCA
ensembl:lncRNA